rnacentral:rRNA from 1 species
CCUACGGGAGGCAGCAGUGGGGAAUUUUGGACAAUGGGGGCAACCCUGAUCCAGCCAUUCCGCGUGAGUGAAGAAGGCCUUCGGGUUGUAAAGCUCUUUCGCAAGGGAAGAAAACUUAUGAUCGAAUAAAUCAUGAGGUUGACGGUACCUUGAUAAGAAGCACCGGCUAACUACGUGCCAGCAGCCGCGGUAAUACGUAGGGUGCGAGCGUUAAUCGGAAUUACUGGGCGUAAAGCGUGCGCAGGCGGUUUUGUAAGUCGGAUGUGAAAUCCCCGGGCUCAACCUGGGAACUGCGUUCGAAACUGCAAGGCUAGAGUGUGUCAGAGGGGGGUAGAAUUCCACGUGUAGCAGUGAAAUGCGUAGAGAUGUGGAGGAAUACCAAUGGCGAAGGCAGCCCCCUGGGAUAACACUGACGCUCAUGCACGAAAGCGUGGGGAGCAAACAGGAUUAGAUACCCUGGUAGUCCACGCCCUAAACGAUGUCAACUAGUUGUUGGUAGAGUAAAAUCUAUGAGUAACGUAGCUAACGCGUGAAGUUGACCGCCCGGGGAGUACGGUCGCAAGAUUAAAACUCAAAGGAAUUGACGG